GGACAGACAGACAAUACUUUAUUACCUUAGAAGAAAUUCGUUUUGGUUCACAGAGCUUGACUAAAAUACAAAUGAGUAACAACGUGAAAUAUGAAAUUACUAAAACCUAAACAUAUUCCC